UUAAACUAAGAAUAUAAGGGUAGAGUUUUAUAUUCAAAAAUUAAUAUAAGAUGAAGAUAUAAAUAAAUAUUUAUAAAUUAGACUUUUUAGUGGCCAUAUUAUUAAAGUAUUUUAACUAUUAAAAUAAAAAAAGUUUUAUUUUUAUUCUCUUUUUUUUUUAGUAGAAUAUAUUUUAUAUCAAAAAUAAAUUAGAAAUAAUGAAAAUAUUAGUAGAAAAAAAAUAUUAUUUGUAUAAAUAUAAAUUAAUAAAUAAAAUUUAAUAGAAGGGAAAGAAAAAUUAAAGGAACUCGGCAAUUUUUUUUCUUGCCUGUUUAUCAAAAACAUGUCUGUAUGAAGUUAUAUAAAGUCUGGCCUGCCCAUUGAAUAAAUUUAAAAGGCCGCGGUAUAUUAACUGUGCAAAGGUAGCAUAAUCAUUAGCUUUUUAAUUGAAGGCUUGUAUGAAUGGUUGGACAAAGUAAAGGCUGUCUUUAAUUUUAUUUUUUGAAUUUAACUUUUAAGUGAAAAGGCUUAAAUGAAUUUAAGGGACGAUAAGACCCUAUAAAUCUUUAUAUUAAAUUGUUAUUUUGAAAUUUAAUGGUUUGUUUAAAUAAAUAAGAAAACAAAAAAUAUUUUGUUGGGGUGAUGAGAAUAUAUAAAUAACUGUUCUUAUUUUAUACAAAGUUAUUUGUUUAAGAUUAGUAGAUCCUUUAUUUAAGAUUAAAAGUUUAAGUUACUUUAGGGAUAACAGCGUUAUUUUUUUUGAGAGUUCUUAUCGAAAAAAAAGUUUGCGACCUCGAUGUUGAAUUAAAAUUUCUCUACGGUGUAGAAGUUGUAGAAGAGAGUCUGUUCGACUUUUGAAGUUUU
rnacentral:rRNA from 1 species